GUCGAGCGGGUAGAGAGAAGCUUGCUUCUCUUGAGAGCGGCGGACGGGUGAGUAAUGCCUAGGAAUCUGCCUGGUAGUGGGGGAUAACGUUCGGAAACGGACGCUAAUACCGCAUACGUCCUACGGGAGAAAGCAGGGGACCUUCGGGCCUUGCGCUAUCAGAUGAGCCUAGGUCGGAUUAGCUAGUUGGUGGGGUAAUGGCUCACCAAGGCGACGAUCCGUAACUGGUCUGAGAGGAUGAUCAGUCACACUGGAACUGAGACACGGUCCAGACUCCUACGGGAGGCAGCAGUGGGGAAUAUUGGACAAUGGGCGAAAGCCUGAUCCAGCCAUGCCGCGUGUGUGAAGAAGGUCUUCGGAUUGUAAAGCACUUUAAGUUGGGAGGAAGGGUUGUAGAUUAAUACUCUGCAAUUUUGACGUUACCGACAGAAUAAGCACCGGCUAACUCUGUGCCAGCAGCCGCGGUAAUACAGAGGGUGCAAGCGUUAAUCGGAAUUACUGGGCGUAAAGCGCGCGUAGGUGGUUAGUUAAGUUGGAUGUGAAAUCCCCGGGCUCAACCUGGGAACUGCAUUCAAAACUGACUGACUAGAGUAUGGUAGAGGGUGGUGGAAUUUCCUGUGUAGCGGUGAAAUGCGUAGAUAUAGGAAGGAACACCAGUGGCGAAGGCGACCACCUGGACUGAUACUGACACUGAGGUGCGAAAGCGU
rnacentral:rRNA from 1 species